UACGAAGGGGGCUAGCGUUGUUCGGAAUCACUGGGCGUAAAGCGCACGUAGGCGGCUUGUUAAGUCAGGGGUGAAAUCCUGGAGCUCAACUCCAGAACUGCCCUUGAUACUGGCAAGCUGGAGUGUAGGAGAGGUUGGUGGAACUGCGAGUGUAGAGGUGAAAUUCGUAGAUAUUCGCAAGAACACCAGUGGCGAAGGCGGCCAACUGGCCUAUUACUGACGAUGAGGUGCGAAAGAGUGGGGAGCAAACAGG
rnacentral:rRNA from 1 species